rnacentral:rRNA from 1 species
GACGAACUGUCCUAACGGUUGUUCGGAAUCACUGGGCUUAAAGGGCGCGUAGGCGGUCCGACAAGUCGGGGGUGAAAUCCUGCAGCUUAACUGCAGAAGUGCCUUCGAUACUGUCGGUCUUGAGGGAGGAUAGGGGUGUGCGGAACUUCCAGUGGAGCGGUGAAAUGCGUUGAUAGUUGGAAGGAACGCCGGAGACGAAAGCGGCGCACUGGAUCUCUAC